GACGAACGCUGGCGGCGUGCUUAACACAUGCAAGUCGAACGAAGUGGCGAACGGGUGAGUAACGCGUAAUCAACCUGCCCUUCAGAGGGGGACAACAGUUGGAAACGACUGCUAAUACCGCAUACGGAAGGAGGGGAUUGCGUCGGAUUAGCUAGGUGGAGGGGUAACGGCCCACCAAGGCGAUGAUCAGUAGCCGGUCUGGGAGGAUGAACGGCCAAAUUGGGACCGAGAACAGGCCCAGACUCCUACGGGAGGCAGCAGUGGGGAAACUUCCGAAAUGGACGAAAGUCUGGCGGAGCAACGCCGCGUGAGUGAUGACGGCCUUCGGGUUGUAAAGCUCUGUUAAUCGGGACGCGUUACCGGAAUAGAAAGCCACGGCUAACUACGUGCCAGCAGCCGCGGUAAUAC
rnacentral:rRNA from 1 species